GCUGAGUGGAACUCAAUGGAUUUAGAUUAAGGUUCUCCAAUUGGGUACGGUAAGGAAUCUCACCCAGGAUCAAAAGGGCCUUGCACUUAGUUGUUGUUAUGAUUGUCCUGGCGGUUAUGGUUGCUUGUCCUUUAUUUUUGAAGAAGACCAGUGACAUCACCAGAGUCAUCAAAGUCCAGCAGAAGGACAAAGG